AUUGAACGCUGGCGGCAGGCCUAACACAUGCAAGUCGAACGAGUGGCGGACGGGUGAGUAAUGUCUGGGAAACUGCCUGAUGGAGGGGGAUAACUACUGGAAACGGUAGCUAAUACCGCAUACCAUCGGAUGUGCCCAGAUGGGAUUAGCUAGUAGGUGGGGUAAAGGCUCACCUAGGCGACGAUCCCUAGCUGGUCUGAGAGGAUGACCAGCCAAACUGGAACUGGGACACGGUCCGGACCACUACGGGAGGCAGCAGUGGUGAAUAUUGCACAAUGGGCGCAAACCUGAUGCAGCCAUGCCGCGUGUAUGAAGAAGGCCUUCGGGUUGUAAAGGACUUUCAGCGGGGAGGCGUUACCCGCAGAAGAAGCACCGGCAAACUCCGGGCCAGCAGGCGCGGUAAUUC
rnacentral:rRNA from 1 species